CCUACGGGUGGCAGCAGUGAGGAAUAUUGGUCAAUGGCCGUAAGGCUGAACCAGCCAAGUCGCGUGAAGGAAGACGGAUCUAUGGUUUGUAAACUUCUUUUAUAGGGGAAUAAAGUUCAGCAUGUAUAGUGCUUUGCAUGUACCCUAUGAAUAAGCAUCGGCUAACUCCGUGCCAGCAGCCGCGGUAAUACGGAGGAGGCGAGCGUUAUCCGGAUUUAUUGGGGGUAAAGGGUGCGUAGGGUGUCUUUCAAGUCAGAGGUGAAAGCCUGUGGCUCAACCAUGAAACUGCCGCUGAAACUGGAAGACUGGAGUGUGUGUGAGGUAAGCGGAAUGCGUGGUGUAGCGGUGGAAUGCGUAGAUAUUAGGCAGAACACCGGUUGCGAAGGCAGCUCACUAAGCCAUAACUGACGCUGAGGCACGAAAGCGUGGGGAGCAAACAGGAUUAGAUACCCCAGUAGUC
rnacentral:rRNA from 1 species